AUGUAUAUUAUUUGUCACACUCACAGCGGUAUAAUUAGCUACAGUAUGCAAGUGAGGGCGUUGGGCCAUCAUGGCCCUUAUGUUAAUGAUUUUCUUUCAUACAUGAAGGAAAAUCAUAAAAACCAGACACUAGUACAAAAUUCUUGCAUGCUGAUUCUGUGACACUGCUUACACUUCAGAGUACAAGAGUAUGGUUCGCCAGGGACUUGCUGUGUGACACUGCUUACACUUCAGAGUACAAGAGUAUGGUUCGCCAGGGACUUGCUGCUAAGACGACACAUACAAGAGGAAGCACGUAGAUAAAGAGGCGCGAAGUCAGAUCAACUUUGAGGACCUGAGAGAAAAAGUGCUGAAAGGGAAACAGCUCUAAUAGGUCAGCAGGCCAUGCCAGCAGGUGUUACGUGGGGCGUGUACCUUAGUACGCUGACCGUCUCCCUACUGGCCAUGCUGGCUGGAGCACAGACUGUCCAUUUUGUAUACAGACCUCUUGAGGAUUUCCAAGCAAUGGUUGACAAGCGAAAAAAGGAAAUAAGGGAAGAAAUGAGACAGGAAAAACUCCAGGAAAGUCUGAAAAACAAAACUAGUUCUUAAUCAGUGAUAUAAAUUUUACAAAUUAUUAAAAAUAUAUCUGUAUGUGAUUGUAUUGAAAACUAUCAUUUAAAUAUAUCUGUUGUGACCGUGUUUAAUUGCGUACAUUUAGCUGCAUUGAUAA